rnacentral:rRNA from 1 species
UCCUACGGGAGGCAGCAGUGGGGAAUUUUGGACAAUGGGCGAAAGCCUGAUCCAGCAAUGCCGCGUGUGUGAAGAAGGCCUUCGGGUUGUAAAGCACUUUUGUCCGGGAAGAAAUGGCUCUGGUUAAUACCUGGGGUCGAUGACGGUACCGGAAGAAUAAGGACCGGCUAACUACGUGCCAGCAGCCGCGGUAAUACGUAGGGUCCAAGCGUUAAUCGGAAUUACUGGGCGUAAAGCGUGCGCAGGCGGUUGUGCAAGACCGAUGUGAAAUCCCCGAGCUUAACUUGGGAAUUGCAUUGGUGACUGCACGGCUAGAGUGUGUCAGAGGGGGGUAGAAUUCCACGUGUAGCAGUGAAAUGCGUAGAGAUGUGGAGGAAUACCGAUGGCGAAGGCAGCCCCCUGGGAUAACACUGACGCUCAUGCACGAAAGCGUGGGGAGCAAACAGGAUUAGAUACCCUGGUAGUCCACGCCCUAAACGAUGUCAACUAGUUGUUGGGGAUUCAUUUCCUUAGUAACGUAGCUAACGCGUGAAGUUGACCGCCUGGGGAGUACGGUCGCAAGAUUAAAACUCAAAGGAAUUGACGGGGCCCGCACAAG